AACGAACGCUGGCGGCAUGCCUAACACAUGCAAGUCGAACGAGACCUUCGGGUCUAGUGGCGCACGGGUGCGUAACGCGUGGGAACCUGCCCUUAGGUUCGGAAUAACUCCCCGAAAGGGGUGCUAAUACCGGAUAAUGUCUUCGGACCAAAGAUUUAUCGCCUUUGGAUGGGCCCGCGUUGGAUUAGCUAGUUGGUAGGGUAAAAGCCUACCAAGGCGACGAUCCAUAGCUGGUCUGAGAGGAUGACCAGCCACACUGGGAAUGAGACACGGCCCAGACUCCUACGGGAGGCAGCAGUGGGGAAUAUUGGACAAUGGGCGAAAGCCUGAUCCAGCAAUGCCGCGUGAGUGAUGAAGGCCUUAGGGUUGUAAAGCUCUUUUACCCGGGAUGAUAAUGACAGUACCGGGAGAAUAAGCUCCGGCUAACUCCGUG
rnacentral:rRNA from 1 species